rnacentral:rRNA from 1 species
AGUCUAGCAUGUGCGCGAGUCAUUGGGACUCAAUAAACCUAAAGGCACAAUGAAAGUGAAAGUCUGUUGACGCGGACUUAGGGAGGAUAGAUGCGUAGCACAUCUGUGUGUACAACCUCGCACUCCCGGGGCGUCUCGCACUCAUUGCGAGGUGGGGCGCACCAAGAGCGUACACGCUGGGACCCGAAAGAUGGUGAACUAUGCCUGGUCAGGACGAAGUCAGGGGAAACCCUGAUGGAGGUCCGUAGCGAUUCUGACGUGCAAAUCGAUCGUCGGAACUGGGCUUAGGGGCGAAAGACUAAUCGAACCAUCUAGUAGCUGGUUCCCACCGAAGUUUCCCUCAGGAUAGCUGGCAUUAGAUUAUGGAUGAGUCUCAUCCGGUAAAGCGAAUGAUUAGAGGCAUUGGGGUCGAAACGGCCUCAACCUAUUCUCAAACUUUAAAUGGGUGAGAUCUCCGGCUUGCUCGAUUUAUGAAGCCGGAGAUCGGAUCAAUUAGUGCCAAGUGGGCCACUUUUGGUAAGCAGAACUGGCGCUGUGGGAUGAACCAAACGCAGAGUUAAAGCGCCAAAAUCGACGCUUAUGGGAUACCAUGAAAGGCGUUGGUAACUUAAGACAGCAGGACGGUGGCCAUGGAAGUC